UUAACCAAAACGCUGAAACUACAAUAAAUUUAUUCAAUAAAGAACAAUUUUAUCCGUCGAAUGUAACCAAUAUAUAAUGAUUAAGUCUUAUAACAAAAAAAAAACUUUUUCUUCAUAAUAAAAAGUAAUUUGAAAUUAUCGUUAAGAGCCUUGACAAUAAGCUAUGGAUGAAGAUCAAUUAUUGGUUACGUCAUUUUAACAUUCCCACAGUAGCUUGGUUAAUGAUUGAAUUUUUACAAAUAAUGUGUUGUCAGCAAGAUUUAACGGUAAUCAUGGCAUAAUUCAAUUAAUAGGGAGUUAAAAUACGGAUUUAGAAUUUCAAAGUAAUAUGUACAUUUGAUUUUCAAAUUUAGAAAUAAAUAUACUGACCAUGC